rnacentral:lncRNA from 1 species
UCUCUCCCCCUCUCCCACCCGCCCUCUCCAGUAUUGAGGACCGAUGAACCCAGGGGCCCUCUACCGCUGAGCCACAGCCCCGGCCCUUUAAUAAAGCUUUUAGACCUUAUUAUAUUUUAUAAACACGACAGGUAGAUGUUUGAUCCCACAAUAUGAACCACAUAAAUGUGAACUUUAUAUUCUGUGGCCCGCAGUCUUCACCCUUGGUGUGAAUUGUCACUGUUUCUGGGACUAUCUGUGUUCUUCAGCACCUUCAUGCUCCUGAAACUAAUCACAAAUGUGCACACAUGUCAAUUUUUUGCCCUCUGUUCCUUUAAAUUAAAACCACGGAGCAUAGGUUACUGAGGCAGGAUUGCAUUCAGCGCCUACAAGCAGCACCUUAAAUAAGAAAUGAGGCCCAUUGUUCUCCGAUGACGUGAAGUUCAGGGUUAGGUGGUGCCAACUGCUGCCAUUGCACUAGCGCACGCUACCCCUCUUUUAAUUAUUUAGUUAUUUAUUCUUGUACCAGGGAUUGAACCCAGGGGUGCUUUGCUACUGAGCCACAUCCCCAGCCCUUUUUAUUUUUUAUGCUAAAACAGGGUCUCACUAAGUUGCUGAGGCUGGCCUUGAACUUGCCAUCCUCCUGUUUCAGCCUCCUGAAUCACUGGGAUUACAGGUGUGGACCACUGUGCCUGGUAGAAGGAAUAGUCUCUAAUGCUUUAGAGAAC